UACGAAGGGGGCUAGCGUUGCUCGGAUUUACUGGGCGUAAAGGGCGCGUAGGCGGACGACCAAGUUGGGGGUGAAAGCCCGGGGCUCAACCUCGGAACUGCCUUCAAAACUGGUCGUCUUGAGUACGGGAGAGGUGUGUGGAACUCCGAGUGUAGAGGUGAAAUUCGUAGAUAUUCGGAAGAACACCAGUGGCGAAGGCGACACACUGGCCCGUUACUGACGCUGAGGCGCGAAAGCGUGGGGAGCAACAG
rnacentral:rRNA from 1 species